rnacentral:rRNA from 1 species
AGGGAAUCUUCCACAAUGGACGCAAGUCUGAUGGAGCAACGCCGCGUGAGUGAAGAAGGUUUUCGGACCGUAAAGCUCUGUUGUUGGUGAAGAAGGAUAGAGGUAGUAACUGGCCUUUAUUUGACGGUAAUCAACCAGAAAGUCACGGCUAACUACGUGCCAGCAGCCGCGGUAAUACGUAGGUGGCAAGCGUUGUCCGGAUUUAUUGGGCGUAAAGCGAGCGCAGGCGGAAGAAUAAGUCUGAUGUGAAAGCCCUCGGCUUAACCGAGGAAUUGCAUCGGAAACUGUUUUUCUUGAGUGCAGAAGAGGAGAGUAGAACUCCAUGUGUAGCGGUGGAAUGCGUAGAUAUAUGGAAGAAUACCAGUGGCGAAGGCGGCUCUCUGGUCUGCAACUGACGCUGAGGCUCGAAAGCAUGGGUAGCGAACAGGAUUAGAUACCCUGGUAGUCCAUGCCGUAAAACGAUGAGUGCUAAGUGUUGGGAGGCUUCCGCCUCUCAGUGCUGCAGCUAACGCAUUAAGCACUCCGCCUGGGGGAGUACGACCGCAAGGUUG